UUUCAUUCCCCUUCCACAAAAGCUUCUUCCACUCCUGCAAGCUCAGUCUGUCAACGGGGGCUAAAACUGAAAGUCUGAAGCUCUGGUUCUAUACAUCACGGUGGCUUUCCAUAGAUUGAAGCUCUGCAUUUGCGCUUACUCCAACGUGAAAGCAAAGCAUUUGUUAAGACGAAAUACAGGGGAGGAGCAGCAGAAGAUGCUUCUUAUCGGAUAAAUCUAUCAGCCUUGGAAAUCGCUAUGCUGUUGUAGUGUAGGUAACGAGUUUGACAUUGUAUUUUAAUCAUAUACUCCUAUAACUUUAAAUAAACGCCCUUUACUGGGUUUUAUUAUGUAUUUAUUAUAUGUAGCCUUAAGUAGGCGAUGUUUAGAUAAACUGAUACUUUUGUAUGAUUUAUCCCAUUGUAGGUCGGAAGUCACUACGAAUUAAACAUCUUGUGAAGCACCAGGUGAAACAACGUUUACUUGAAGAUUGUGCAGGUACUCUUCUGAGAAAAAAGCUAUUUCUCUCACAGGAAAAAAAGGUGCUCCUUCAAUCCAUUAUUUAACUUC